UAAAGAUCGAGCCAAUUGCGUCCGAUUAUGUGGAUGACUGGCAACAUCAGUAACCAGUGAAAUUCCGAAAACAAUCUCAUGCCGAUUUAGUGGGAAGUUUUAAAGCUGAAUGAAAUCCGUGCCUAUAGCUGGCUGCUAGCCAAAUAAUUCCCCGGGUUUUGUGUCCUUACGUACAAGGUGAAAAGUAUAGUUUUGUAAACGGUUACACUUUUGGAAUUUGAAUCAUGGCGAAACAGAAGAAGAAAACUAAAUCAUCUGCUACACCCCCCAAUACAAUUAUUCGGGGUGAAAGCGAUGAGUCUCUGGAUGAAACAUCAGACUUAAGUUCUGAUGAAUCAAACGUUUUCUCGGAGGCAUAGGAAAUGUUUCUGGAGGGAGAAGACAUUACUCUCGACAACGAAUUAUUUGAGGGAGACUCAGAUAACGAUUGGAAGCCGGAAAUUUCUCCCUCGCCCAGCAAGCGACCACGUAAAGCGAAGCGUCAGGACAGCACCUCAUCAAACGAGGGGCCCCUUCCCCCAACUCCCCAGCAGAGCACGGGGCAGUGUUGCCAGAUUAGAUUGACAGUUUUCCGCCCAAUAACAAUUUAAAACCCGCCCACUUCUUUAAAAAACCGCCAAAAUCCUUACUUUUCCAGAAAGCCGUGUAAAACCAUGACAUGUUCAAUAGAAAAUACGCCACAAACAUUCAAAGCUUUAAUCUGCAAAAACGGAGAUUAAAUUUACAGAUCACUAAGAGCAAAAUGAGAAAAAACAUUACACCUGAAGUUUUUAGCUCAACACAAUAAAGUAAUGACAUUCUGCCAUGACAUGUAACGCUAGAUUAAGCCACAAUUAAACUCCAAAAUCCAACCUAUUUAAAAUGUAUAUAGCUCUCUAUUUUUUUUCCAACAAGCACAGAAACACUACUAGGCCUCCUGUAUUUGUUCCGAUUGUUCUCUCCCCUUCGCGAUUGUUCCUCUCUAUCCCUUAUACACAAACACAAAAAUGAAUUGCUAGAAUUUACAGUAUUGUUGAUAUCGCAGUAUCCAUGGAUUCCAAAGCCCCACUCCAAAUGAUUGUCCCUACAGUCACUGAACAAGCCAAUUAGCUUACUGGCUAAUAGAUGGAAGAAUCAAAUCUCCCCAACAUUUGCCGGGGAGGUUUGAAAGUAGCGGAUGUAACACAUGCCAAUCAAAUAGUUUGUUUGAAUGUUUUCAGUCUUUAAAAAAAGCGCCCAAUUGUAACGAAACCCGCCCAAAUUUGAUCAACCCGCCCAAGGCUAUUUUGCCCCGCCCAGCAUUAUCAAAAGCAGCCCAAUUGGGCGGGAACCCGCCCAAUGUGGCAACACUGGCACGGGGGAGGGGCAACAGGCAAAGCGGCAGUCUACCUGGAACGCCAACGAAAACGUUUGAAGAGAAAUGGAAUGAUGUUGACGUUCCGGAUAUAACCCCACCACAGCCCACCUUCAGACCCAUCAACCCACCUGGACCCCAGCUCAUCCGGACAGCUAGCUACACCGCCCUGCAGCUUUACCAACUGUUUUUUACUAACUCUGUUUUACAGAGAAUAAUUCAAAACACCAAUCGUCAUGCCUCCACUCGCCACUCGACCUCCACUAAACCGUGGAUUGACUUGACAUUGCAGGACAUGUUUUCCUUCAUGUCCGUGGUCAUCCACAUGGGUUUAGUCAAAUGCAAUAUGUUCACUGAUUACUGGUGAAGGAGUAAACUGUACAACUUGCGGUUCCCAAAACAGGUAAUGACCGGCAAGAAGUUCCUCAGAAUCACCCGAUCCAUUCACAUCAGUAGCAUGGCGCAAGAUGCAGCGAACAACAAGAAGAAAGGUACAGCGGCCUACGACCGUCUUUGCAAAAUAAAGCCUCUCUACCAAGAGAUUCGAGAGGCCUGCCAAAGGAACCAUCACCCUGACCAGGAUAUUGCCAUUGACGAGCGGAUGGUUGCCUCCAAAGCCCGCACUGGGCUCAAACAGUACAUGAAAAAUAAGCCUGUUCGCUGAGGAUACAAACUGUUUGUCCUGGCCGACUCCAACAGUGGUUAUACGUGGGACUUUUUUGUGUACGAGGGAAAGGUUCCGGGAACCAGCGGCAAGGGGAUGAGUUACGCGUCGGUAAUGGAACUGGUGGACACGCGCAUGCUGGGCACCGGGUACAAACUUUUCGUCGACAAUUUCUACACGAGUCCCGCCCUUUUCCGCAACCUCCUUGGGAAGAGGAUCUGGGCGUGCGGGACCGCACGCACACCCUCGGGUUCCCCAGAACGGGCGCCAACGGCCUGGACUCGAAGUCUCCCCGCGGCAGCAUCCGCUGGAUCAGGAAGGACUCGCUGCUGUUUGUCCGGUGGAGAGACACGAGGGACGUGUCCCUGUGUUCCACGAUCCACACGGCACACUCUGGGGACACCGUCAAGAGGAGGGUCAAAGGUGCCUGUCAGGGCUGGGAGAUACAAGAUGUCCCAGUUCCACCAGUGGUAAAGGAUUACAACCAGUGUAUGGGUGGAGUGGACCUCUGACGCCCUGAUAGGGUACUAUUCAGUCAGGCACAAGACCCAGCGGUGGUAUAAGACCUUCUUGUAUCAUUUCAUGGACAUUGCGAUUGUGAACGCCUUCCUCCUCCACAAAGACAUCCGAAAGCGCAGAAGGCCUUCAGAGAGGUCCUCAUCGAGGAGCUGGCGGAGGUGGGCUGUCAAUCUGCGGCCAAUCCCGGCUCUUCGUCUCCAAACACGACAUCUGUUGCUCCAGACAAGACGCAUCACAAGCCGGCGUACAUCAGUGGAGACAGCACCAUAGGUCGGCUGAGGUGCAAACACUGCGGUUUACGGACGCCAGUGAAGUGCUCCUCCUGCGACGUGGCGUUGUGCUUUGUCUCCGAACGUGACUGCUACAACACCUGGCAUGACGCUCAAACACUAGAAAAGCUGUAACUGUAAAUAUGUGGGUGUGAAAAUGGAUGUGAAAAGUUUGGUGUGCAUUUCUUUUAUAUAAACUUCUUUUCCACAGUGGCGCUUGUUCUGACU